rnacentral:tRNA from 1 species
UCCCUUGUAGCUCAGUCGGUAAAGAAUCUGCCUGCAGUGCAGGAGACUCGGGUUCAAUCCCUGGGUUGGGAA